UACGUAGGUGGCGAGCGUUGUCCGGAAUUAUUGGGCGUAAAGCGCGCGUAGGUGGGAUAGUAAGUCUACUUUAAAAGUGCGGGGCUCAACCCCGUGAUGGGGUGGAAACUGCUAUUCUUGAGUGCAGGAGAGGAAAGCGGAAUUCCCAGUGUAGCGGUGAAAUGCGUAGAUAUUGGGAGGAACACCAGUGGCGAAGGCGGCUUUCUGGACUGUGUCUGACACUGAGGCGCGAAAGCCAGGGGAGCGAACGGG
rnacentral:rRNA from 1 species